UUCCUGUUGCAAUAUUUUAUUUGAUAAUAUUACUUAAAUAAUAAUGAUAUAAUACUUACACAAAAACAUCCAGUCCUUUUUUUUACAAAAGUAAUAAAAUUGUUAUACUUAUGUCCUUUUACAUCCAAAUAAUCUUCUACUAUGUUUUUCUAGAUGUAUUCUGCUACACCAAAGUAUAGAAGCUUUGCAAGACAAAAUCUAGAUGUAUUCUGCUACACCAAAGUAUAGAAGUUUUGAAAGACAAAAAUUGCCAUAUGUAGUAUGGAAGAAUAGCAAUACCGUUUUUAAAAAACGAGGUGCAUUAAAGUAAAUGUCAUAUUUGAAUGCAUUGAUCCAUAAAUGUGGACAAUUGAACAGCACACACAUUUACUAACCGUGCCGUGUGCUGAUGCUAAUCUUCUUCGGGUGGCUCCUAGAGAAUGAGGUUGGAGUGUGGGGGACUGGGGAGGUGUGGGGGACUGGGGAGG
rnacentral:lncRNA from 1 species